GAGCGCAUACACAACAUGGUUAAUGCUGGAUUGAAAACUCAAUUGCUACUUUCUCAAAAGAAAACGCAAUUGCUGCAGACUAGCAUCGCCGGAAAGAGGAGCUGGCAGAAUUACAGAGAAGACUCGCAGGAUGGCCAUGAAAGCAAGCCAGCAGCUAUACGAAUCCCUCAACGGAUCUGCAGAAAGUGAGACUGGAAAGCUUGCUGAAGGAUUAUAUGGUCAGAGGAAUGUUGCAGUAUGGAGUAAGAACUGGAUAGCUUUCAGGUAUGCUGCAUUGUUAGGCCUAGCUUCUUUUCUGUUGAUCACUGACAUACAGUGCUGUCGCCUCCUCUUCCUCUACGACCCCGAAAACAUAUCUUACGGUUUAUUCCUUAUGGGAAUGGGAAAUCUUAUCGCUUUUGGUGUCUUGGCUGCACAAGCCCGAGAACUCAUUGAUGAUUCCAAGACUGCAAAUGAUGUGCCUUGGUGGUGCUAUGGCUGCACCAGCUCCAGAUAAGAUUGAAGUUCCAUAUUUCAUAAUGUCCUUCCCUUGGCGGCGUGGCCACUGAUGCCCAACUCAAAUGCUAAUCGAAGAUCUAGACAUUGUAAACGCGCUUUUUAAAUCCUAAUUACCUCCUGUCCUGUUUUUCCUUGAUAACGGAAAUGUGUUAUCAGUGUCCAGUGUUUCUCAAGAUCGUUAGAUUUGUUAGGCAUUUAAAAGGUGGAAUGAAGCGGUGUUAGUUUGUGUUUGGAAAUUGUUGUUGUUAGGCCUCGUCAUUGUUGAGUGUCAUUAUUCAUGUUUUUUCGGGUCCUCUGUAAAAUAUUCAUUGCUUAAUGUAAAAGUUGUUCUGUUAAAGUAAAAA